rnacentral:rRNA from 1 species
UACGAAGGGGGCUAGCGUUGUUCGGAAUUACUGGGCGUAAAGCGCACGUAGGCGGAUUGUUAAGUGAGGGGUGAAAUCCCAGGGCUCAACCCUGGAACUGCCUCUCAUACUGGCAAUCUCGAGUUCGAGAGAGGUGAGUGGAAUUGCGAGUGUAGAGGUGAAAUUCGUAGAUAUUCGCAGGAACACCAGUGGCGAAGGCGGCUCACUGGACUGGUAUUGACGCUGAGGUGCGAAAGCAUGGGGAGCAAACAGG